UAUUUACAUAACUGAUUCCUGAGUCAAAGCUCUGCCCCCUCCUCCAUCCUGCAACGAAUGGGGUCUAAUGCUCAUGCGCGGUCAACUGGUCAAAAUGUUUCUAGCUACCCUCCUGUUUCCUACCCUGUGGGUUCAGGAGGGUGGAUUACCUGGGAUCCAGAGUGCUGCCUGAGGUAGUUGGGAGUUGGAGGAGCUGGCCCAGCCCAGCCCCCCUUGUCUCUGCCUUCUCCUGCUCCAGUCUUCUUGGGAGGACAUCACUUCCUCCCAUGCUGAAAAGAAGGGGGUUGGCGGUAGCUCUGCCGCUGCUGGGGACCAGCCAUGAUGUGUACUACACAUGGAGCAGAGAUAUGAUGUCUUCAUAUCCCCACCCCCC